UACGUAGGGGGCAAGCGUUGUCCGGAUUUAUUGGGCGUAAAGAGCGUGUAGGCGGCCAAGUAAGUCUGCUGUGAAAACUCGAGGCUUAACCUCGAGCUGUCGGCGGAAACUAUUUGGCUAGAGUCCGGAAGAGGAGAAUGGAAUUCCCGGUGUAGCGGUGAAAUGCGCAGAUAUCGGGAAGAACACCGGUGGCGAAGGCGGAUCUCUGGGCCUGUUCUGACGCUGAGGCGCGAAAGCUAGGGGAGCGAACAGG
rnacentral:rRNA from 1 species